UCGAGAAUUUUUCACAAUGGGGGAAACCCUGAUGGAGCGACGCCGCGUGGAGGAUGAAGGCCCUUGGGUCGUAAACUCCUGUCAUAAGGGAACAAGAAAGUGAUAGUACCUUAAGAGGAAGAGACGGCUAACUCUGUGCCAGCAGCCGCGGUAAUACAGAGGUCUCAAGCGUUGUUCGGAUUCAUUGGGCGUAAAGGGUGCGCAGGCUGUGUGGUAAGUCAGGUGUGAAAUUUAGAGGCUCAACCUCUAAACUGCACUUGAUACUGCCAUGCUAGAGGACUGUAGAGGAGAUUGGAAUUCACGGUGUAGCAGUGAAAUGCGUAGAUAUCGUGAGGAAGACCGGUGGCGAAGGCGAAUCUCUGGGCAGUUCCUGACGCUCAUGCACGAAGGCUAGGGGAGCAAACGGG
rnacentral:rRNA from 1 species